rnacentral:lncRNA from 15 species
AAGAGAAAACGCUAUAAUAUUUGUUAAUUAACCAACCGUGGUAUUACGUUUCAUAAUUAGUUAGUAAUAGUUUGGGCGAAGAUAUAAUAUUUACAAUAUAAAUAUAAUUAGACUGCCCUCUUGUGGUCAUACAGUGUAUUACAGCGGCCCGUUGUUGUAAAGGCAGACACAAUUACACCGUUUUACUUCCGUUUAGUACUUUCAAAACAAAAUAAAAUAGCUUUUACAUAAUUUGUACCGUUUUACUGGAAUAUUUUGCAGAAUAUUUCAAAACUCCUAAACUAAAUAAAUGUUAAAGACUUGCAGACAAAAUUGUUUGGGUGUAUUAUGUUAUAUAUCUAAAGGUUUUAUUUUGUGCUUCUGCAUAUGGUUUUGAUCUGCCUCCAUAGAAAAAGAGAGUUUUAAAUUAUAUGCGACCUGUUCCUGCUUAAAUAAAAACAUUGUCAUUGUCACAGCGGUCAUAGUUUUAUCAUGAAAUUGUCACUGUACAUCCAAAUACAUAAUAGAGAAACACUUUGGAGACAUUUUCUACUCCUUCAAGACAUUUAAAUUAACUUUUUUAGGCAACAAUUUAAUUCUGAUUUACGGCUAAAUGAACCCAUAAUUUAGAGCUAACAAUAUAGUCUUUAUUAACCAAAAUAGAGUUUUAAAGUUCGUCUUUAUUUCCAGCUUCUACAUUAUUUUCUACUCUGCUCCUUCACUGGAGAACACCUCGUUCACGGUCCUCUGGCGCCACCUACCGGAUCAACAGAGAACUACAACAACACCGGGAAACAGGACAACGACAUGGCGGCCGCCGCAAGGCUCAUAUCAAGGUUGACUCUGGUCACUGCUUCUACAUUAUUUUCUACUCUGCUCCUUCACUGGAGAACACCUCGUUCACGGUCCUCUGGCGCCACCUACCGGAUCAACAGAGAACUACAACAACACCGGGAAACAGGACAACGACAUGGCGGCCGCCGCAAGGCUCAUAUCAAGGUUGACUCUGGUCACUGGUACGUUUAUAUUUCACCGUGAAACAUUAUAAUUCAGUGUGUAAAAACAUUGUUAGAUAAAUACAGAAUAGUCGCUUUACA